rnacentral:rRNA from 1 species
UACGUAGGGGGCUAGCGUUGUCCGGAAUCAUUGGGCGUAAAGCGCGUGUAGGCGGUCCGGUAAGUCCGCUGUGAAAACUUGAGGCUCAACCUCAAGCUGUCGGUGGAAACCCCUUGGCUAGAGUCCGGAAGAGGAGAGUGGAAUUCCUGGUGUAGCGGUGAAAUGCGCAGAUAUCAGGAAGAACACCAAUGGCGAAGGCAGCUCUCUGGGACGGUACUGACACUGAGACGCGAAAGCGUGGGGAG